AAAAGAUGGAAAAAAUGCUGACUCUGAUAAACCUUAUAUUUUCCUUUGAGCAUGAUGCGUAUAAGAAUAUUGGAAACUUUUCUUUGCUGCACUACAAGUUGCCUGCACAAUAUAAAAGGACUGUUUUAUUAGCACAGCAUCUACUUAGCCAAAGAAUCUGCUCCGGAAGGUCAAAGAAACAUUUUGAGCUGAUUUGGAGGCCAUGUGAGAAGGUGUGUGGGCAGGAGUAGAAGGGAAAGCCCCAUCAUGUAUGCCAGGCAUGUCCAACAGGUAGAUCAUGAUCUACCGGUAGAUCACUGGAUAUCUGUGUUAGAUCACUGGCUCCCCCCAAAGAAGCUGAACAACUGUGGUUCCCUUAAAAAAGCCUCAGUAUUUUACCUACUCCCUGAAAAAGCUCAACAACUUUGACCCGAACCCCCCAAAAGUGGGUGGAUCACUGCCAGUUUUUAACUCUGUGAGUAGAUCGCAGUCUGUUGGGAGUUGGCCACCCCUGAUGUAUGCUGACAUGACACUGGAUCUUGCUCAAAGUUGUUUCAUACUUGUUCU